UGACUCCUAAGCUUGAGAGAUUUUCUUGA
rnacentral:piRNA from 1 species